AAUCAACGCUGGCGGCGUGCCUAACACAUGCAAGUCGCGCGCGAAAGGGGGGCAACUCCCAAGUAGAGCGGCGAACGGGUGAGUAACGCGUGGGUGAUCUACCUUCGAGUGGGGAAUAACCCCGGGAAACUGGGGCUAAUACCGCAUGACAUCCUCGAGUCACAUCGGGGAUCAAAGCCGGGGACCGCAAGGCCUGGCGCUUGGAGACGAGCCCGCGUCCGAUUAGCUAGUUGGCGGGGUAACGGCCCACCAAGGCGACGAUCGGUAGCCGGCCUGAGAGGGCGGACGGCCACACUGGGACUGGGAAACGGCCCAGAAUCCUACGGGAGGCAGCAGUGGGGAAUUUUGGACAAUGGGGGCAACCCUGAUCCAGCAAUGCCGCGUGAGUGAAGAAGGCCUUCGGGUUGUAAAGCUCUUUUGUCAGGGAAGAAACACCGGCUCUAACACAGUCCGGGAAUGACGGUACCUGAAGAAUAAGCACUGGCUAACUACGUGCCAGCAGCCGCGGUAAUAC
rnacentral:rRNA from 1 species